GUCAGAUCUAUUGCAUAGCUCAACUGCAAUCUUCAGGAGGUUAUAUUUCAGCGAGACCAGCCAGCUUCGGAGUUCCAGAAAUUCCCAAGUUCUGAGAGCACUGUAUUGUUCAUUAUAUAAGUCCACUGCGCCAUGACGUCCGGCAAACUUUUCAUCGUGUUGUUCCUGGUCCUAAUGGCGGCACAAGAGCUCCCAGCAUGCACCACUUGCCAGUACUCCUCAUGGUCAGGCUGGUCCGCGUGUUCUGGGGGGUACAGGGUGAGGUCGCGGUACGUCAUCUGUGGGCACAAUUGCAAUUGGCCGACCACACAAUAUGCGAGAUGCUGAUGGGGAAAGCCAACCAGAAAAAAAAGCCAACCAGAAAAAAGGAAAUGUGACGAACUUUUUAGGAAACGACCGACUUAAAAGUGUCAAUUUGUUCAUUUUGUUUAUUUUGUUUCUUAAAUCUAUUAAACUAGUGGAAAUGACAAUUUGCGUUUUUAACGAUUGUAACUGAUGAAAUUGCAUUGCAGUGUAAUGUUAUACACUAUAAUACUCUAAUAAAAAAAAUAGAUUACAACAAUGA